UACGUAGGGUGCAAGCGUUGUCCGGAAUUAUUGGGCGUAAAGAGCUCGUAGGCGGUUUGUCGCGUCUGCUGUGAAAACCCGAGGCUCAACCUCGGGCCUGCAGUGGGUACGGGCAGACUAGAGUGCGGUAGGGGAGAUUGGAAUUCCUGGUGUAGCGGUGGAAUGCGCAGAUAUCAGGAGGAACACCGGUGGCGAAGGCGGUGGUCUGGGCCGGCACUGACGCUGAGGAGCGAAAGCGUGGGGAGCAAACGGG
rnacentral:rRNA from 1 species